GAUGAACGCUGGCGGCGUGCCUAAUACAUGCAAGUCGAGCGAACGGACGAGAAGCUUGCUUUUCUGAUGUUAGCGGCGGACGGGUGAGUAACACGUGGAUAACCUACCUAUAAGACUGGGAUAACUUCGGGAAACCGGAGCUAAUACCGGAUAAUAUUUUGAACCGCAUGGUUCAAAAGUGAAAGACGGUCUUGCUGUCACUUAUAGAUGGAUCCGCGCUGCAUUAGCUAGUUGGUAAGGUAACGGCUUACCAAGGCAACGAUGCAUAGCCGACCUGAGAGGGUGAUCGGCCACACUUGAACCUAGACACGGUCCAGAAUCCUACGGGAGGCAGCCGUAGGGAAUCUUCCGCAAUGGGCGAAAGCCUGACGGAGCAACGCCGCGUGAGUGAUGAAGGUCUUCGGAUCGUAAAACUCUGUUAUUAGGGAAGAACAUAUGUGUAAGUAACUGUGCACAUCUUGACGGUACCUAAUCAGAAAGCCACGGCUAACUACGUG
rnacentral:rRNA from 1 species